rnacentral:rRNA from 1 species
AUGGCGCGCGCCCCCUCUGUCACCAUCCCUCGAUCCAAUCCAUUCCAGGCCAUAUCAAUCGCACCACCAGCUGACAACUACGACAUCGACGUCGACAGCAUCGACAGGAACCCAGCGGCGAUCCCCUCCGCCCCUCUCCUCCGCGCCGCAUCGGAAACCCCAGCCGUCUGCCGUGCGAUCUUCCCCACGAGGCAAGGCGUCGUUGAUAGAGGAAACAUUGCGGUGCUGCUGCAGGCUAUCUCUGAAAAAAUUGUGGUGCCGCUGCUGCAGGCUAUCUCUGAAGAAAACAAGCGAGUGAAGUUGUUCGAGAGAAACACAUUGUGUUUUUGGGAUGUGUUUUUUGCUUUGCUUGCUACAUGGGAGGUGAGCAGGAGGAGGACCAGAGGUCAGGGAGUGUUUGGUUUCAGGGAGAUCGUUGGGGAGGAGUUCAUGACCAUGUUCCUGUCAGUUUUUAGCAGUAUGAUUAUUUCUAGGAUCAAUAUGGUGGCCAUCAGGGUUCCCAUCACCGUGCAUGCCAAGCUUGAGCUCCUCAAGAAUGCCACCAAGCUGUACCAACUUAUCUCAGAAACAGAGAAGCACCAAGCUGGACUGCUGGCCGAGGAGAUGCAUAUGUGGGCACUUUCUGCUGGCCAAGAAAGGCUUGUAUCAGGCUGUCCUGGUGUGGCGACCUACAAAGGACAAACAGGGUCGGUCAUCACCAAAGAUGAAAACAUUGUCGAGCCUUACUUUUUGCAAGUUGCCUUAUUUCUAUUACUUUUAGAGGAAAGAUAG